CCACACCCCCACCCCGCGCUCGGGAGCCUCUCGGAAUAAAUAUUUCCAGGCUCCGGGCCACGGGCUGGCGAGACCCCGCGGGGUGGCCGCAGGCCAAAGAUUAUUUAUAGCGGUAAGCGGUCGGUGCCCGGAGGCAGCAACUACAGAUGGGGGUUGGAGUUUCCUCCGCUCUCCGGUGUGGCCCGCGCAGGGACCCGGCGGCCCUCGGAGGACUCUGCAGGGCGGGGUCACGGGCCCAGAGCCGCGAUUUUCCUAAUGCAUUUUGCCCUGGAAAUAACGGAGACGGACUUUGGUUGCCGCCCUGGAGUUUGGAACCCGAGCGCGGGGCGGGGCGGGACCGGGCAGGGCGACCCGCGCAGGUAACCAGAUCCCCGGUGGUGGCGGCGCAAGCCGAGGAUGGCGGGGCCGGGGCCGGCCGGACUCUCGAAACGGCUGGCGGAGCCGGCCGGGCGCGGAAAACUACUUCCAGCUAAAUGUGCACACACGCCAGUACAGCCGAAAAGUGACUCUGCAGAACCCGGAGCCCUAAUCACUUUUCCACAUGCGCCUCCGGCCCGGCGCGCGACGGGGAACGAGCUGGGAGCGCCCGCGCAGCCAGGAGGGGGGCUGGGCCGCGGGAACGCUGUCCCCCUCCCAGGCUGGAAGGCGGGGAUAAUUCCCCCUGCCGUGCAGCCCUUCUAGACGGCGUCUACCCCUUUAAGAAAAAUCUAGGCGGAGGUGGGGUGCGACAGAAGGGGUGGUGAGGCGAGGGUUUCCCUCCCUCCGUCUGCUAUACCCGUCUCCCUCGCUCCGUCUCACUCUCCGUCUUUCCUCUCCUUCUUUUCCUCUGUUUUUCUUUUCUUUCAACACAAAAGUUGGGUUGUGAAUUUUCCGAGGUCGCCGCCGCCUCGCCCCCACCCCCCGCCUCUGAUCUGCCUAACUAUAAUUAAAGUGCGUUUUUUGUGGCAUUAAUAAAGAGUUAUUUGUCCGCCGUUUCCACGGUCUUCACAAAGAGUACUUUCAUAGGGGCGGCCGCUCGGGCCGCGAGUCCAAUUUAUACAAAAAUGUUGUAUUUUUAGCCCUGGGCUCUGUUUAGAUGGCGCUCGGUGGAAACGGAGAGCCCUUGGAGGUCCCCCCGUAAAAUCUGAUAAAUGACUCCGAAAAAAUAACGCUGGGAUUCAGAGGGCUCUCAUUAACCCCUUAGGCGCUCCUGUACACGUACCCCCUAUUUCCCUCCUCACCUCCAGAUCUAGGGCCCCGGGUUGGAGGGAUGGGGAGG
rnacentral:lncRNA from 1 species